GAAUCUCACAACAUAUGUUUGGAUAGCACUUCCCAGCCUACAACGCACUUUCUCAGGGAUUCUCAAACUUCCUCCCACCUCACAUCCUUUUAAGGCAAGUGAGUGUGGGAACUCUGGUUCAGGGAAGUUAAAUCACUUGCCUAAGGUCAUGCAGAUCAUUAAUGCCAUAGCCAAGACCUGAGCACGUUCUCCUAAAGCCAGGUCAGGCCUCUUGCCACAUACUCCAUUGACUCUAGUGCCUAACCCAUGCUCAUCACAGAGCUCACACUGGAACCAUUGUUAAACAGACUCUAAUGGAAAUGACUUCGUUCAGCUGGUGAACAUUUUGGAAGAUUCCAGAAAAACAUGAACAAGUGUUUGAGUGCUCUUAAGGGGAUUGUCUAAUAUCUUGGCUCCUGACUCAUCCUUAGAAGUCUUCCAGCCACCUUGUACCCAUUUCAAGCCCAAGGGCUCUUUAACGUAAAUGAGUUACUGAGCAGGUUAAUGGGACCUGGACUGGAAAAGGAUUGUUUGUGUGAGAAUCAUUCAUGACAAAGGCAGUGACACCUCCUUCAAAAACCUGUGUCUUUCUGGCAGAGUGUUGCUGGAGACGGCCACUGGAGAGGCUGAGUCAAAUCAAUCUCCUCACCUGAGGACUUCCUAAGACCAGCACACUGAAGGACCAGCAGCAACAACAAUAAUGCUAAUGCUCCCUUAUGGACAAGACUGCAAUUCUCUGCCUGCUGAAGCUCAGCUAUGACCACGUGACUUGCCUUGGCCAAUGAAAGAGGAAGAGUAUGUAACACUGCUGAACGGAAGCAAGUGGCCCCUGCCCCUGCUGCAGAAAUUCUAGACAUGUGUGCCAUGCUGGAGCAAGGAGACAGGGAGUCCUGGAGAAAGGAGACAUGGAACAGAGCUCCCAGCCCAGUCAAUAUGUAACAUGAGUGAGAAAUAAAUAACACUUUGUUGCUAGAA